AUACUAAAAGUCUUUCAGAGUUCCACUUUUUGCUAUCUGAAAAACACAGAUGGAAGGAAUUUGGAAUGUAUCAAAGCACACACAGUCACUGACAGGAAUAUGACCUACAAUCUUUCUAAGAACUGGAGACAUCCCACUAAGACAAAGGCUUCAAAAACUUCUAUUUGCAUAUGAUUGCAGAGGCUUUAUUAGAGCUUAGCAGUUAUAUUGUAAAGGACCAAAUGUUCAUUGCUCUUCAUUUAUGUGCACAGAACUUUGCUCAUACAGUCACUUCUCUGCUCAAUCUUCAUUUGCCUAUGAUUGAUGAGAGGACUAUAUGAGUGUGGCGGACAGAUGAGUGAACUUUUGCCUUAAACAUUCCUUGGUACAUAAGGUGCAAGCAAAUCAUAACCCCGAACAAGCCAUCUGUUCCUGGCGGGAACAGGACUGAGCUGCUGCGACCCCUGAAAUGGUCUCCCUGCAACCAUUCAGGACACACCAAGCCUGUGCUGAACCAGACCACGAUCGGGCAGAGACUUUGGGACCUGGACUGUAAAUUACUGCUGCUUAGCACAACUUCUAUAAAACUUGCUUAGCAUGAGUAUCUAAAUUUGCUGAAGCCUUAGGCUGCACUCCCUAGUUCAGUGAGAAAGGGCCCCAGGGCUGGUGCAGGCAGGAAAGACAAGGGGGUUACCAGCAGUUUGCAUUCGCAUGCUUCACACUCCAGGAGGAAGGAUGUCAAGGCAUUGAAGUGAGGCCUGCUUGGGCACCGGGACCCUGGGGAGCAGGGCCUCCUCUCGCUGCUGAAACAGUGCUGAUUAGGGGGUCUGGGCUAUCUCGGGGUCCAGAUCAUAUUCCCUUUGUCUGGACCUUAGGAAAUAACACCUACCAUCACUGCUGGGGAAGUAAUAAAUUGUCAGGGCUUUGAGAGAUAAGGGCAAGACCCGAAGAAUGAAAACACAUCUGUCAGCAGAAACCACAACAGUAAACAACCUACCUAGGGACCCAAUAAGGAGCAGGAGACCCCAGACCUAAAUAUUACUAUUGGUCCAAACUACUGCGUGAAGGGUGGAGAGCUUAGAUUGGAAAGUAUAAUUGCCCAGGGAUUUCUUUGUUCGGGGUCCCUCUUCAGAGGCACCCAACUCAAGCUGUAACUACUGCACGCGUGUUAUUACAAAUUAUUUAUUUAAUUUGCCUUGAUUUGGCUCCAAACUUUUCAGCGGGAACCUAGGGUUGGACCCUGCUCAAGUUGUAAUUACUGCACGCGCUUCACUAAAAUUUACACCCAGGGUGAAGAGGACCAACAGGACGCCGCUAGAUCCACAGGUGGUGAUAUCCCUUUCUCUCUCUCUCUCUCUCUCUCUCUCUCUCUUUCUUUCUUUCUCUCUCUCCUCCUCUUUGCCUUUCCCCACCUUUUCUCCCCACUCCGUGGAAAAUAAAGUUAAAAGGUUGUACGAUA